CGGCGCGGAGCAUGGCGUCCCCGAGAGCUGGAGCAUGGGAGGCGGUUGUGGCGUGGGAUCUAGGGUGUCUGCAGCGGACUCGGCGGCCCUGUGAGGCGCUCGGCCCGCCGGACCCCGCGUGAAGCUGGUCGCUGUGGAAGCCGAGCGCCGUUUGGGAUGUAGAUCUCCGCCAUAAGCCCAGGCACAGAACUGGGCGGGAAUAAAGCGAAGACCCAGGUCACACGGUGGGUACCUGAAGCUGACGGAUAUUUCCUGAACGACACACGGGAGCACAGAGUGGUUUAAGGAUGUCCUUGAUUUGGAAAUUUGAUCUACAGAAGCACGAGUGAUUUAAAUUUUCUAGGGGCCGUGUCAAAACUCCAUAGAUGAAUGCUCAUUUGUAACAAGGCUAUGAAUAAAUGCUUUGAUGUGCUGUUCUGACAUGUGUAUGUUGUGUGAUUGGCGGCCACCUUACUGUCCAUACCAACAGCUAAACUGAUCGUUGACUUCAGCUAAGACUGACAUAUUCUUUUGCUUAACAGAAAG